GCUGGGUGCAGUGGCGCAUGCAUGUAAUCCCAGCAGCUCAGGAGGCUGAGACAGGAGGAUCACGAGUUUAAAGACAGCCUCAGCAAUGGCAAGGCGCUAAGCAACUCAGUGAGACUCUGUCUCUA
rnacentral:sRNA from 1 species